GGGAAGCUAAAGGUGGAGCAACUAUCUUGUGACCACAGGGCAUCUAAGAUGACGAAACAGAAAAACAGAAGGGGCCUGGUGACAUCACGGAGCCAGCCUUGCUCUACCAUCGUCCAGACUGCUUGUUAAGGAGACACGCAGAGCCUGAACACUUCUAUCGCUGGUGAAAUCUGUAAAUGCACAAUGUAACAGCCAAUGCUGAAAUGAAAAGUAUUGGACGAGGACUAACAUCGCUCCUUGGCUCAAAGAGCAAUGGAAAAAGUAUCCUCAGGUGAGAAAAAUAAAUAAAUAA